AAAAGAGUUUAUCUUAAAAUUUGAUUAGAAUAAUCAAUUUUGAGAUAAACUCUUUUUUAUUAUAAUUUAUUUUUUAUAAACUUUCUUCUUUAUUUUGUAAAUAAAGAAGUUAAAUUAAUGUAUUAAUA
rnacentral:misc_RNA from 1 species